CUGUUUUGGUUUUUUAACCUUCAUUUAUUUCAUUGGUUAGUUAAACUACUGCAGAAAUUUUUGGAAAGAUCGUCCUGGUGCUUCUGCAAGCGCCAAAAGCAAACCAUGGACCUGAUAGUUCAGGCAGAAUACCAUUUUUUAAAAUAAACCAAAGUCUGUAUUUUAUCCUUCCCCAUUCCACAGACCGCAGCAGACUGUGGAAGCUGGCGAGGCCCAGUAGAAUCCCGCGACCCCACAGCCUCAGCGCUCAGGGUUCCACGGUCCAGUACAGGCUAAACUGACCUCGCCGACGGCCGCGCCCACUUGGGCACUUCUCCCGGGUCUUGUUCUACGGGCGUUUGAGGAUUUCUUAGUCUCUUUCUUCCCUGGCACUCUUCCUCCGAGGCCAGAAGUCUGAAUUACUAGCAGCUACCAGCCGCUUGGAGCGGGAACGUGCUGUAAGAGCGAAACGUUGCCCCACUUGGCGGUGUCCAGGGUCAGAAGUCAGUGGUGGCUAUACUCGGAAUAA
rnacentral:lncRNA from 1 species